rnacentral:rRNA from 1 species
GACGAACGCUGGCGGCGUGCCUAAUACAUGCAAGUCGAACGCAGGGGGGACGGGUGAGUAACACGUGGGUAACCUCCCAUCAGAGGGGAUAACACUUGGAAACAGGUGCUAAACCGAUACUGAUGGAUGAACCCGCGGGGCAUUAGCUAGUUGGUGAGGUAACGGCUCACCAAGGCCACGAUGCAUAGCCGGCCUGAGAGGGUGAUCGGUCACACUGGGACUGAGACACGGCCCAGACUCCUACGGGAGGCAGCAGUAGGGAAUAUUUGGCAAUGGACGAAAGUCUGACCGAGCCACGCCGCGUGAGUGAAGAAGGUUUUCGGAUCGUAAAGCUCUUUUGGUAGGGAAGCGGUAUCUGACCAGAAAGCGACGGCUAACUACGUGCCAGCAGCCGCGGUAAUUC